rnacentral:lncRNA from 1 species
GAUUACCCGGAAUUCCAGGACUUCCAGGAAUUCCCGGACUUCCAGAAGUUCCAAGGAUUCCAGGACUUCCAGGAAUUCCAGAAUUUUCUCAGAUUAAUCAGUGUUUUGCAUCACUAAAUAGCAUUCAGGGAUGUUUGCUAUCGCUUUUCACUUUCCCAAUCGGGGGUCUCGCACCUUCGUCUUCAUGUUGCAAUGCACUUCAAGAUAUUAGCAAAAACUGUUGGUCUAUUUUUUUUCCCUUAGCCCCAAAUACUCCACAAUUGAUUCAGAACUUUUGCAACA